rnacentral:rRNA from 1 species
GACAGAGGUCCCGAGCGUUAGGCGGAAUCACUGGGCUUAAAGCGUGUGUAGGCGGAUCGUUAAGUGCCUUGUGAAAUCCCACGGCUCAACCGUGGAACUGCUGGGCAUACUGCCGAUCUUGAGCCACUUAGGGGCAACCGGAACAAACGGUGGAGCGGUGAAAUGCGUAGAUAUCGUUUGGAACGCCAAUGGUGAAAACAGGCUGCUGGGGUUGUGCCGACGCUGAGACACGAAAGCCAGGGGAGCAAACGGG